ensembl:lncRNA
GCCUGUGCCAGAUCAUUGGUGUAUUCAGAGAGCGCAUCCUGUAAAAUAGUAGUCAUGCCGGCAGUGUUGAGGGUGCCUGCUCACUUCGACGUUGUGAACUUUGUGCGCCAGAACCACUGACCAUACGCAGCCUGUGAAUUGGCUGACCAAUGGUGAGUCUUGGGGCGCAGCUAGAGACGUAUCCAGCACAGGUGGCCAUGCAUCUUGUACAAUGAAGACUUUUGCCUGAACAGGGCUUUCAAGAACAUUCCAGGCCUGUAUUCAGAGAGAGCAUCCUGUAGAACAGUGGUCAUGCCGGCAGUACGUGCGCAAGAUCCGCCGACCAUACGCAGCCAGUGAAUUGGCCGGUAAGUAGAGUUGAUAUGAAGCACUUGAUCGUUCAGGCUCCGCUGAUGAUACUCCACUUCAAGGUCCGUGUUUCUGAUUCCACUGAUAACUCUGGAAGUUCUGAUGAGCUUAAUCAAGCUUCUGUGGAUGUUUAAAUCUGUGUUUGGUGAAAUGGUGGUGUAAUUUGUUUCUGUUUCACUUCACCAGACCAAUGGUGAGUCUUGGGGCGCAGCUAGAGACGUAUCCAGCACAGGUGGCCAUGCAUCAUGUACAACGAAGACUUUUGCCUGAACAGGGCUUUCAAGAACAUUCCAGGACUGUAUUCAGAGAGAGCAUCCUGUAGAACAGUGGUCAUGCCGGCAGUAUUCAGGUCGCCUGUUCACCUAUGUUGUGAACUACGUGCUCAAGAUCCGCCAACCAUAGGCAGCCAGUGAAUU